rnacentral:misc_RNA from 1 species
GAUGAAGAACGUAGCGAAAUGCGAUAAGUAAUGCGAAUUGCAGAAUUCAGUGAGUCAUCGAAUCUUUGAACGCACAUUGCGCCCUGUGGUAUUCCGCAGGGCAUGCCUGUUCGAGCGUCAUUUCAACCCUCAAGCUCUGCUUGGUGUUGGGCCCUGCCCGCUGCGGCCGACCCUAAAGACAGUGGCGGUGCCGCCUGGCCCUGAGCGUAGUACAUCUCUCGCUCCAGUGCCCGGUGGUAGCCUGCCAGAACCCCAACUCUCGUGGUUGACCUCGGAUCAGGUAGGGAUACCCGCUGAACUUAAGCAUAUCAAUAAGCGGAGGA